AAUGAGUGGACUGAUACCUCCCCUGCUGGGAUGUUUCCUUACAGGAACUCCUGGAGCCAGAAGCUGGGACCAACAAAACUGCCGUUGCUGAGUUCAUUCUAUUGGGCCUAGUGGAAACAGAAGAGAUGCAGUCUCUGGUCUUUGUGCUCUUCCUCUUUGCCUACCUGGUCACAGUCGGGGGCAACCUCAGCAUCCUGGCUGCCAUGCUGGUGGAGCCCAAACUCCACACACCCCCAUGUGCUUCUUUCUGGGGAACCUAUCAGUGCUGGAUGUUGGAUGUAUCACUGUCACUGUUCCUGCAAUGUUGAGUCAUCUCUUGUCCCACAGGCGUACAAUUUCCUACGGAGCCUGCCUUACACAACUAUUCUUCUUCCACCUUCUGGCUGGGAUGGACUGCUUCCUGUUGACCACCAUGGCUUAUGACCGAUUCUUGGCCAUCUGCCGGCCCCUCACCUAUAGCAUCCGCAUGAGCCAGACAGUCCGGAGGAUGUUGGUGGCUGUGUCCUGGACUUGUGCCUUCACCAAUGCACUGACCCACGCUAUUGUCUUAACUACUCUCAACUUCUGUGGCCCUAAAGAGGUCAAUCACUUCUACUGUGACCUCCCACAGCUCUUCCAGCUCUCCUGCUCCAGCACCCAACUCAAUGAGCUGCUGCUCUUUGCUCUGGGAUUUUUGAUGGUAGGUGCACCUGUGGUUCUCAUCAUCGCCUCCUACAUCCAUACGGCAGCUGCAGUUCUACAAAUCCGCUCUGCAGAGGGCAGGAAGAAGGCCUUCACAUGUGGCUCCCACCUGACUGUGGUGUUCCUCUUCUAUGGGACGGGUAUCUUCAACUACAUGCGUCUGGGUUCAGAGGAAGAUUCAGACAAGGAUAAAGGGGUUGGGGUUUUCAACACUGUUAUCAACCCCAUGCUGAACCCACUUAUCUACAGCCUCAGAAACACUGAUGUUCAGGGUGCUCUGUGGCGGAUACUUGUGGGGAGGUGGUCACUGACCUGAGAGGUGACAAGGUCCCUCCUUUCCUGCCUCUUCUGGACUGAGGGAAAUUUCUCAUGAAGGCAGUAACCAGUA